GGCCUUUGUUCUCGGGGCGGCUCGGCGGUGCAGGAAGGUGAAAGAGGAUCCUGGGGGCCCCAGAUAGGGACGGGCUGCAUCCUUGGGGAGCAGAAAUCCACUGUAUGAGGAGACCCAGCUCCUGAGACCUCUCGCUGCACCUUCAGGGCUGAUGAAAGGCAGCCAGUCUGAUAGCAGCUAAUACUGGACCGGUACCAUUUCACCAUCUGGCCUUUGUACUAACUCCAGAGCACUUAGGAAACAAGGCAAAGGCGACCAUGGAAAAUUUGACCCAAAUGCUUGAGAAAGACCCUGCCCUGUCCCGAGAAAGGAGCAUAGAGGAAGAGGAGGAACAAGGCGUGACCUCUAGACUUCUGACAACCAGAUCCCAGGUGAGUUGGAGCUUUCACUUUCCUGAAAUGCCAACUCUGUUCUCAGGAGCAUUUCCUUCCCUCUUCG
rnacentral:lncRNA from 1 species